rnacentral:rRNA from 1 species
AACGAACGCUGGCGGCGUGCCUAACACAUGCAAGUCGAACGAGAAGUUCGGGUCUUGGGGCGCACGGGUGCGUAAGGCGGGGGAACCUACCCGUGGGUUCGGAAUAACUCACCGAAAGGGAUGCUAAGACAGGUGAAUGUCUUAGGAGCAAGGAGUUAUCGCCGUAGGAUGGGCGCGGGUUGGAUUAGCUAGUUGGUAGGGUACAAGCCUACCAAGGGGACGAUGCAUAGCUGGUGUGAGAGGAUGCUUAGCCACACUGGGAAUGAGACACGGACCAGACUCCGACGGGAGGGAGCAGUGGGGAAUAUUAGAGGCUGGGCGAAAGCCUGAUACAGCCACGCCGCGUGAGUGAUGCAUGCCUUAGUGUUGUAAAGCUCUUUUAGCCGGGAUGAUAAUGACAGUACCGGGUGAAUAAGCUCCGGCUAACUACGUG